rnacentral:lncRNA from 1 species
UUAUCAGGAGAUUUCUUAAGAAAUUAAAAUGAGGAAAAAUGCAAAACUGAACACAAAAGAUUAACCAAGUCUAAAUCAAUGAAAAUAUGUAGGGAAACCUUUUAUUAGUAUUGUAGUACAUGAAUACAAGCAAACCUUUCAUUAUUAAUUAUAAGGCAGAAUUUGAUAAUUGUGACAAAAGCACAAAAGUACUUUGAUCGAGGAACAAAUGCCAGAGCUUAUUUCGAAAGACAACAUUGAAUAAUUUGUAUAGGGUGUAAUCUGCAUCGCAGAAACAACUCAAAAGGGAACAAGCUUCUCAAGCAAUGUGGCGAUGUAGUCUUUGAUCACAUAAGAGUUGGUGUAGCCAUCAUCAUCCUUGUAUAUAACAUCCAUCACUCGUGCAAGAUUGAGAAUGCACUAAAGGAGAGGCAUUGCCACUCUGUUGGUUUCAGUAAUCCUUCAUUUAUAUGAUUAUAUCUUUCCACCCGUUUGACAUUUCUUUGCGUAAUAUUUGAAUCACCUCUUCAUCAGAGAGACAGAGAUGCCAUGCUGCUUCAUGUAGCAUUCGAUAUCCGAGGCAACAUGUUUUCUCUUUUGCUCAAACUACAAACAUAUAUUUAUAUGUAGAACUUAAUAAUGAUAAUGAGACAAUGAAUUAACAGUCAUGGACCAAUAUUAAUGUAUAUUGUACCCCAUGAGAUACUCCUCGACUGUUGGAACGUAGCCUUUAUUACACCACUUGGCUUCCAUAGGGAAGGCUCGGACUCCUUUCUUCAGGUUGUAGACAAGUAAUUAACUUCUACUAAUUAAAAUAGAAAAGAAAUUUUGGCUUCCCCUAAAGCAGUUUUAAAUAUAUAUAAUAAGUGGCUUACCUAUUCUAUUGCAUUCAAUAUGAUCUUCCAUUCUUUGAGAUUAAUUUGCUCCUCAACUUCAUCAAAAUAACAGUAGUUCUUUAUAAAUCAGUUUCAUGUACUCUGGAAGUACAUCUAUAUUGCUAAUAUCCCACCUGAAAACAAAUAUGAAUAGAAAGUAAUGUUAAUCUUAAUUGAAACAGAUACGAUAAACUCAUGAGCUGAAGGUUGAGUAUAGAUUUCUUGGAUUUGACCUUUUGAUGGCAUUUGUAAAGAGCUGAGCUUCUUCAAUUGCACUGUAGGCGUCGUAGGUAUUGUCUAUAAUGGAUAUGAAUGGAAUUAUUUUCGACAAUGUCAUUCUUCCAAAGGAGUAUGGAGGCUCAAAAUACACUCUCAUUAUCCAAAAGUAGCAUUCUACAAUUCUGUCUCCAACAUAUGGCAGCUUUGUCUUAACAUCUAAAGUUUUCCACCACCUGAAAUGCAAAUGAUCCAUUCAUAUGAAAAAUAUCUCAUAUCGAUUGAGAAUAGUUAGGAUUAACUGAUUUGAGUUGAGCUAACUUUAAGGUAUGAUUGAGUUGAGCUAACUUUAAGGUAUGAUUGAGGCUCAUAAGCAUAUGGCAUCAGAUUCAAAAUUCAUGUACGAGUUGGCCCACACAACUUUCUUCGUGACAAGAACUAGACAAAAUGAUUGCCCUGCAUGUGAUAGAAGAUGAUACGGAAAAUAUCUCAUAUCGGCUUGAAAUAAUUAUUCGGUUAAGAAUAUGAAGGUCGAGAGUGAGUCCAGGCCAUCUAUGAGCUUCUAUGUUUAGUCUUAUCAUCCAAAACUUGUUUUGAAUUUGAACUUAUCGAUAAAAAUUUUAACUUACUCAGUGAGGGUUGUUAGCUCCUUCCGGUGAAAUACUUUCGGCGUGCAAAAAUCUAGUUUUGCAAACCUGAGUAUUGUUUGAUCUUUUGAAUCAUCUUUUGAGUAGACAUCGUUGUAAUACCUUGCCUCCAACCUUGUUAAGCCUCUGCGGAGUGGCCUAGUCAAUGUAUGAUGUAUUUUAUCAGAAAGCUGAGAGCUACUAGAGGAACCAUUGAUUCAAGUUAAGAGGUAGUGAAAGCUAGGGCUUCAUUUAGCAUAUUUUCUCCGCGAAUGCCUAAAUGAGCAGCCUCAUGCAGACUUAGUAUGCGGGUCACAUCAUUAACUAAGGAUGACGUGAAUUUUCCUUCAUCAUCUUUGAAUAUGCCGAAUAUAUCUGCUUUCAUUAUCAAAGACUAAAUCGAUUGAGAUCAAUCUCCCAUGGUCUUAAAUUUAAGCCAUAUUUCAUGGUCUUAAAUUUGAUCCAUAGAAUUUGGCCUAUUGUCCCGUUUGUCUUUGUAUUUUCAAAAAUUUUAAAA